UACGGAGGGAGCAAGCGUUACUCGGAAUUAUUGGGCGUAAAGGGCGCGUAGGCGAUUUGAAAAGUCUUGUGUGAAAAGCCCCGAGCUUAACUCGGGAAGUGCACAAGAAACUGUUGAAUUUGAGUUCCGGAGAGGAAGGCAGAAUUCCCGGUGUAGCGGUGAAAUGCGUAGAUAUCGGGAGGAAUACCAGUGGCGGAAGGCGGACCUUCGUGGACGGAUACUGACGCUGAGGCGCGAAAGCCAGGG
rnacentral:rRNA from 1 species